rnacentral:rRNA from 1 species
GACGAACGCUGGCGGCGUGCUUAACACAUGCAAGUCGAACGGAAAGGCCCCCUUGUGGGGUACUCGAGUGGCGAACGGGUGAGUAACACGUGAGUAACCUACCCUUGACUUUGGGAUAACUUCAGGAAACUGGGGCUAAUACCGGAUAGGAGCUCCUGCUGCAUGGUGGGGGUUGGAAAGUUUCGGCGGUUGGGGAUGGACUCGCGGCUUAUCAGCUUGUUGGUGGGGUAGUAGCUCACCAAGGCUUUGACGGGUAGCCGGCCUGAGAGGGUGACCGGCCACAUUGGGACUGAGAUACGGCCCAGACUCCUACGGGAGGCAGCAGUGGGGAAUAUUGCACAAUGGGCGGAAGCCUGAUGCAGCAACGCCGCGUGCGGGAUGACGGCCUUCGGGUUGUAAACCGCUUUCGCCUGUGACGAAGCGUGAGUGACGGUAAUGGGUAAAGAAGCACCGGCUAACUACGUG